rnacentral:lncRNA from 1 species
CCAGACAGACCCAGCACUAAUUAGAGAGAUUGCUCAUCUCAUUUGUUAUAACUCAUAUUUCAUGUUUAGGGGCAAGAUAUAUAAGCAGGUUUUAGGAGUGCCAAUAGGAAGUCCAAUAGCCGGGACAUUGGCGGAAAUUGUUCUUAGAGAGAGAGAGAGAGAGAGAGGAGCAAAGGUUAAGCAAGUUCCAACAAGACAUAGUUUUAUACAUAAGGUACAUGGACGAUGUAAUGGUAGGAUGGAGGAAUAACCAAAAAAUGGAGGAACUAGCCAAAGAAUUUACUCUGGAGCAAUAUGGCCUGAAAUUAAAAAUGGAUCAGAGUAGUGGGAGAAGCAUACAUUUCCUCGACCUGCAAAUGGAUAUAGAAGAAGGGGAAGUCAGAACGAGUGUUUACAGAAAACCAGCAUAUGAGGCUGUGCUAAUACCAAGAUGGUCAAACAACCCGAUGGCUUACAAGAAAUCAGCGUUCAGAAGUUUAUAUAGAAGAG